UUCUUGAUUUUUUUUUUUUAAGUAUUUUGAGACUUCCCAUUUCUACAUACAUAGAAAUGGAUGAAGGAUGCUAUAAGCUCACAAAGUAUUGUUUUGUGGGUGGAUUUUUAAAUGUUGAGCAGUCUGUGUUCCCCUGUUCUCACUGCUUCCCGGGUUAAUGGAUUGAUAAUGCAGGAGGGGACUCUGAGGUGCUGGAGGAACCAGCAGUGGUGUCAACAUUCCAGUUGUGGGACUUCUAAUUUAAGAAAUGUAUUGUCAUAAGGAAUAAGAUCAAGGCUGAAUCCUGCUUGCAUUUAGGUCCAAAUACAAAAUACGCUUUGGAAGGAGUCCCCAGGGAGCACUGAGAAUAAUUAAGUAAAAAUAAAACCUUUCACUUCAGCCCCCCCUUCCCCUUUUAACAUAGACAAGUCAGUGCAAUGCUGGUUUCAUUCCACCAUUUUCAUUAUGUGUCCUGAUAUUUCUUAAUUUUGUAUUGCAGCUGAAAUACUCGGGUGACUUAUAAUUUCAGUGAUUUGGGGGUAUUUCUAGACCAUACUUUUAAAGAAGUCAUCUCGCUGUGUCCCAGAAGGAGCCAUUGAGCAGUCGUUCUCAUAAACAGCACUGAACUUCUUACAGCCUUGCCUUUCCAAAUACCUUUUUUUCCCCCUGUAAUUUUCAUCCUUAACUGUUGAAUUCCCUUUUCUUUACAUUAAGUAAAUAUUUAUUAGUACCACUUGGAUUUUUUUCAUCUUUUUAGAAGAACAGAGCGUUGUCACUGAGACAAUCCUUUCGUAUUGAGGAGGUGACAUAAAAAAGGAGUGAAGGAGAGUUGUCUUGUGCUGGGAAAUGCCAUUUUUGGAAAACAAUACUAUAGGAAAUGGAAAUGAAAAAUACAUUUUAUGCUGGUGGGAACUUGUAAUGAGGCUAAGAGAGGAUUUGGUGUCUCAGAAAAGCAAUGAUUACAAGGGGAAAAGCGGGACUUUAUCAUCCAUUUGUAGAAGUUCUCGGGCUGAAUAUCCUUUUGGGGAGCUGAAAUUUGGCUCAAGUCUGUUUAUGAACAUCUGUUGAAUGGAAUUUUAAAAAGGCACAGUUUAUAAUCUUAGUUUCUGCUGGCUGUUUAAGAUGAUAAAAUAAAGCAAAAUCAAUGUAUCUGCAAGUACAUUUUGGGGUUUGUUUUGUUAAUGAUGAGCUGCAUGAGUGUUCAGUAGUCUCUACUGCCAGUUAUUGGGCUCUAUAUGUGUUCCCAUAGAUUUUUCUAUAACAUAUAAAAUAUUGCCUCUACCCCUUUCUGUAGCUGUCUAAUUCCAUUUGAACACUCCUAGAAAGCAUUCAAGCUUUUGCAGGGUGUUUUGUUGUGCCAGGAGGCUCUUGCAUUUUGGCAAUGUGUGUGACAUUUCUUGCAGCGGGAGCACAGCGCUGUGUUUGGAGGGCGAUGCUGAGAGCUGUUGGGUAUUCCCAGAACUGCGGCCGUUUGCUUCAAUUCACAUCCUGCCCACCUGUCCUCUGCCUGGGCUGUAAAUGCAACCACUUUGUGUCCCCUGGCUCAGGAUAGCACCACUUCAGCUUCUAUUUCUGCAGCAUUUGUGACCUCCUCUUAUUCAGGGAGGACUUCACUGUAAUUUUCCCUCCUAUUAUUUUGCCUCUUUUCACAGCCUGAUGUUUUUUUUGCUGUUGUUUUCUAUUCCAAGCGAGGAUGCUGUGAGUGCUUCAGCUCAAAAUUUAGGUCAUCUCCAAUAGAGGAAGGGAGACCUAAAAAGUAAAAAUAAGAUUUCAAUGUGCCUUUAAAAGUGACAACUCUUUGGGAAAAAAAUGUACAGGCUCACCUGUAUUUUGUGGCAGGACAGAAAUAGAAGGGGCCUUUCCUGAUUCCAGAAUGAAAGCUAAGUGAGUCUCUCUUUGUGAGUGUGGUUUCUUUUCCAUGUCUUUCCUGGUCUUUCAUUUUCACACCUGAUUUGAGCUUUAAUCACUCAAAUUAUUCAUAGACUUGCCCUGGAAAAAGAAGAGAGUGACCUCUUCCCAUCUGGAGUAGAUGGAUUCAUCACCAAAAAUUGUAAAUGGAUGACUUAAUAUUGGGGUUUGCACUUAAAAUUUUUAAUUCUGUGGUUUCAUUGCCUUUCAGGAAUUCUGCAGGUUGUCUUUUCUGAACUGGUAAGUUGGAGUUGUACCACAGAGAUUUAUUUCUUGCCAUUUAUCUCUUAGCAUUGGGCUCCUGUCUACAAAGAGCUGAUGAUCCCCUGAGCUGCUGAUCUGCCAAAGCACCUUGCCCAGGACCAGGCCUGUGAGUUAUUUUUUUUGUCUGUAAUUAUAUCCAGUGCCUUCCAUGACAAGGAACCUCAAGACAAUAUAAGAAAUCAACAGCCACGAAAGCACUGCCCGCUGCAAGUUAUGUGAUUACAAUUUAGCUGUCCCUCAGCCUGAGGGUGCCUGAGGGGACACAGAGCCAACUGCUCCUCAGUUCCUGUGGGUGGCUGGAGUCAGCCACUGGAAUUGAUAGAUAUCUGUUGCUCUUUCUUUCCUGUUACUUUAGUGGCUUAAUUUAAAUUAAUAAGGAACUUGUGAAUCUGUUUUGUUUGGUUUCUGCUCUUCCUAGCAGCUCUCUGCAGUUUUAUAUGUAUUAAAAGUGCUAAGCUUCCUCUGGCCUAGAUGUACAAUAAAUACCUUAGUCAAUGCAGUUAAGUCCAGUUUCCUCUAUUCACUCAGAAGAGAUUUGUUCCUUAUCUGAAUUGUUCCUCCAUUCAGAAGGAGAGAAGCCUUGCACAGCCAGAGCUCACCUCAUAAAUCACCCAGACAAAUGGAGCUUGGGGCAGAAGAAGAUACAAAAUGGGAAUAGUUGUGAUUUAGGUUUGUGGAGUUCUGCUGUGGGAAUGUGCUUACCAACUGUUUGAAAUACAAAUGUUUAGAAUGGUCACCAUUUUCCAGCUAUUCCUUCAGCUGAAUUUGCAGUUAUCAGCUGGGCCCUGCUCCUCAAGGGUGCCUCCCUGCACCUUUAAACAUCCUCUAAUAUUUGGUGGCUUCUCUUUAACAGUAUUGGUCUUGUAUUGAUAAUUUUUUUAUCAGGUUAGAAAGAGCUGCUUGGUCUUCACCAGGCUCUGCUCUGAUGCACAGAUGUGGCACACUCUACUCACUGAUUUCUUUGGCUCUGUCAUGGCAGAGGUGCUCCCAGCAAGCAAUCAGUGCAGCCACAGCAGCUCAGAGACCUGGACUGUGGGUCCUGGAGCAGGCAAUGAUAACACACAGCUUACAUCCCCUCCCAACCCCAGUCACCCUGUUUCUGCUGCUCACAACUCUUCUCAUGACACCAAGCUUCUCUUUGCUUGGUCUCCUGCCUAACUUAAACCACUCAUCUCAUUUGUGUUCAAUAUAAGGUUAUUUUCUACUGUUAGCUCCUUCAUAAUGUCUUCAUUGCUUACAGUUCUGAAGAGUUGGUAUCUUUUCUAUUCCAAGAAUGUUUGAUAAAUACAUUUGUUGGCACCUGUCCUUGUUUCCCUCCACUCCUCUCAUAUUCACUCUGAGGACCCUUCACAACAAUCUCACCUCCCUCAGUAAUAAGGGGUCCCUCUACCAGAUUAGAGCUUCCUGUUGGUGUUGUGUCAUUUCUGAGCAAGAAAAGGCUGAUACCUCUGAGCUCAGUGGUUGCUUCAUCUCCUCAGCUCUCCCAGGGGUCUUGCAGGCGCUUUCAGUUCUGCCUCACGUCUUUGAUUUGGUGAGGUUCCCUGCUAUUUACAUUUCUUCACAUAUAUCCUCUUCAUACCAUCUGCUACCUUAUGUUUUGCUCAUCUCUGAAAUGUAGUGACCAUAUUUCAUGCAAUGUUGUUCUACAUGAUUUUCUUAAAAUUUAAUUAAAAGGUUCUGAAAGAACAAAGCAAAUUAGAAUUCACCCAUGUUGUGCAGACACUUUAAGUGAAUGGGAAGCAUCUCAAUAAAGGCCUUCAAAUUCCUUGAAUGAAUUUGUAACCAAAAUUCUGUGCAGUGUUUAUCCAAAGGGUCUAUUAUUGGAUUAAUUAGGAGAGUUUUAUUACUGACAAAAGUUAGGGGUGUUAUUAAAGAACAGCAUCUUCUCUAGAAACUCUUUCUUUGGAAUUCAGCAGUUCUCCUGAGCAGUAUUUACUUUGGAGUGAGUGUGUGGCUGUGCCUUGUUAGAUAAAAGCUGUAGCACUAAAACUGUUUUACUGAACUUAGCUCCUGACCUGCCUUCUGAGGCCACAGCUACAAAGGGAUGAUACAUCAAUCUAGUUUGUUUGAUCUAAUUACAGCUGUUUAACCAUCCUGAGCACAAGUGCACUCACCCCACUUUGUUAUGCUGAUUUCAGGUAUUUUCACUGUUAAUCGGGUGCACAGUGCUUGGUUCUUUCUUCUAUUAAUUUACCUCUCAAGAUAUUCUGGGCAGUUAUCCCACAGAGAGGUGUUCUGCUACUCAGCUGUAUGUUAUUUUUCACAAUGUGUUGACAGGGAAUUCUCAGGAAUUUGGGGAUUCUGUGGGUCAACCUGACAAAUGACUACUCCUUUUCUCCUGACAUCCAUUGCUUUUUUCCCUGUGCAAUUUCUUUUCUGAAAGGCUGCAAGGUUCAUGAAGAAGAAAGUGAUAAAUCCAUUAAAACAUCCCUUAACAUGCAGAAGCCCGUUGCCACCUGUGGAAGAGCAGAUUUCUGAUUAUUUCUAACUGAAAACUCUGGGGUUUACAUCAAGAAUAUUGUCAUGGGAUUUUCUUUUCAUGUAUAUAUAUGAUCUUUUGUGUUUGGCUUAUGAAAUUACCUGGAGUUUUUUGCAUGUACAGUCUGUGGAUCAAACAAAGGUUGUGGAGCUUUGAGGAAUAAACAUGGUCUAUCACCUCUUCUGUUUCCAGUGCCCACAAACUUUGGAUUACUGACCUGUCCUCUAACAAAAUGGACUACUGGUAUUUUGUCCCCUUUCAAUUCUACCAUGAGCUCUCUCCUUUUUAUUUUCUCUUUUUUUUUUUCCCAAUUGAUUAAGCAAAUCCAGCAUUCCAGUUUGUUCUGGAGGGUUAGAUUUCCUCAGCCUCCCAGCAUUCUUGUUGCUCUCUUUGUGCUCUUUCCAGUUGCUUUGCGUCUGCUUUUAUUUUCUAACAUGAAACCUGAAAAAGGACAGAAUAUUCCAGCUGAGAAUAUUCCAGACAAAAUUAAAGGAAGGCAUUUGAAUAAACACCAACAGAUACUGUUCUGGAGCUCUCAUUUGGUCCAAAACAUUGAUGAUGGGAAGAUACCAUUCGUGGCUGUGAGGUGUCCUCUGGUGAGAACACCAAGAAAAACAAAAAGGUAGCAAAAAAAGGAGGAAAACACCCAACCAAAGAUGGGUGCUUUUGGCUCCGUGUUUGUGUGUUAUUGUUUACAGGAAGGGGAAGAAGUGGCAGAUCCAAGGAAGCUUGGAACAGAGGGAUGGAAAGAAUCUGCAGGGGGCAGGCACCUAGGACAGAAGAUGCCAGAAGGGCAGCCCUGGUUUGUCGCUAUUUUGCUGAAGCAGAUACGGGAGAGGGGAAGAGAUGUGAGAAGAAAGAAAUGGGUGAUACAUGUUCCUGCCAGUUCCUUAUGAUGGAAACAGAAAGAUUGCAGGAAAACCAGACCUAUGGUGUGAGCCUUUAUGGUCUUCUGAGAGGUGCAGUCCUCUGGGAUCUUGGAAGCUUUGCCCUUGGAAAUGUGUCUCUUUGAAGAGUUCCCUGCAGAGCAGAGGAGCCUCCCUGCCGAGGUGACAGUGUGUGCAGGCCUGGCCACACAAGGAUCAGUGCUGAGUCCUCCAAGCACUGUCUGACACAGGGAAUGUGCUGAGCUGGUGUGUGCUCCAGGCCCACAUUAAUUCACCCUCUGUUCCGUGGUUCUUCACGCUCCUGUGACCCGGAUGAAUUUACCAGGGAGCUGAGCAGGGUGUUCAGUUUUCCUGUCUGCAGUUCUUACACUUCUGCCCACCCUAAUCCAGUUCUUUGCACCAUGAUGCAAACUCUAAUUAUAAAUAAAAUCAUACAACCUGCCUUCUCAACCUCUUGUCUCAUUCAGAGUUUUCUUUUAUCCUUGUUAUUUGAUGUUUGCUUCCAUAUUUUAUUUACUGCAUAUAAUUCAAGUGCUGCAGUAAAUACAGAAUUACUAAUUGUAAUGGAUUUUUGGUACACUUAUCACUACAGUGUCUGAAUACUUUUUAACCACCAUAAAUGCAUCUUCAUAAUAUUACAGAGAUUUUCUUCUCAUUUCACUGAUUAAAAAAAACUGUCAAAGUUCUCCACUGGGUCUGUGUUCCCCAGAGAAAAGGAUUCUUUAAAACCUAAUUUUUCUAAUAAGACAUCCUAUUUUAGCAAUCAUUUUAAUUGUAUCAGGCCUUUAGAUAUGUAUUUGUUGCCAACACAACCUUUGAGUUGAAAUACUGUCUUCAAGCCAUAGUCUGUGUAUACAAACUCACCCUCUCACCCCUCUCUUUGUUGAGGUUUGCUGAAAGGAAGCUCCACUCUUCUCUCCUGACAGAUUCCUUGCUCUUGUAGCCAGCUCAGGGAGCUUUCUCGGUGAUUAUUCCAGUUUUCAUGUGUCAUUCUUGAACAGAAACUGUACCCAAAAUUCUGUAAGAGAGCUGUUGCCAUAACAUCUGGAUGUGCCUUACCUGCUCUUUAGAUCCCAGUUGUCAUUUUCAUUUCUGUGACUAAAUAACACUUCUGAGUCUUCAUCCUUCCCUGCUAACUGUGGUGAAUUCCCAGUUUUGGCUCAGUCCCUGUGUGAACAGCCUUGUGAUUUGCAAUAAUCUUAUUACUGCAUUCCACCAGCCCAUUCCUCAGGAUUCCUGUGCUGUUCCAGAACCUCAUCCAGUUCUUCACUGAGGAUAUUCCAGUCUCCUGCACUGAUGCCUUAGGGUGUUUUCAGGAACCACCUGUAUUAACUUUUUCAGUUCCUUGUGCUCGUGUCACUUAGAGCCCAUCCAUAGCACCAGUGCUGAGACCAAAGCUGCAGGAGCUUUCAAAGCACUCACUCUCUAGCCCAAAACUUCCCAUUUCAGCACAAUCCAGCACUGCAUUUUUAGUCAUUUUUUUACCCACAAAACUUCUCUUGCCCUGACUUUCGUACUUUCCAAUUUAAUUGGUGUUUUUACAUGAUGCACCAGACCAAACACUUUAUUGAUUUGGGGAUGGGUAAGAGCUACUGUGUCUUCCUUUACCCAGAAAAAUUUGCUUCCCUAUCAAAGAAAGACAUCAGCUUUGUCUGGCAUGAUUGCAACCUUUGUUGUAUUUUAUCUCUCCUUUCCUCUACAUCUUUUCCCCCCUCAUGAGGAAAAAUAAUUUAAGUUUUGCAUCUCACUGAGGUCAGGUUAAUUAGCCUAUUAUUGUCUGGACAUUACUUUCACUAUCUUUGGCUUUGAGAUUUUUCCUUUCUCCUCUUAAUAGGAUGGCAAAUUUAGAUUAUUUUUGUACCUCUAAAAGUGGUGGAAAUAAAUUCACUCAUUUUCAUCACAACUCAGCUGUAGUGCUUCAUGUUUUGGUCGAAUUUUGUUUAUUGGUGGGUGUUCUGCUUUGGUUAUUUUAUUUUAAAGAAAGUUGUGCUGUGGCUAUGAAACAGGUUAAAAAAAAAAAUAAAAUUUGGAAGUAUUUGCAAAGUUCUUUAAAGCAUAAUGAUAAUGAGCAGUUUCUUGAGCAGUGGAUCCAGGGCUCCGUUAUCCUGUGGGAUGCUGAUAAGUGCCAGGGGCUCGUUGCAGCCUGUGGCUCAUCAUUGCCCUGCAGAAGUUCUGCUCCUCGUGCUGCCUCAGCAUUAUUUACUGCUCUCAGCCUGUGUUUAAACAGAACACGAAGCGUGCUGGGCACUCUGCACACAUGUAUGAGGCAGUCCUGCACAAAAUACCCACUAAAAAUAGAGCAGGCUCUCCCUCCCUCAUGGCCGGAGUGGAAAAGCACGUUUAAAUCCCGAAGCCGGCUUUCCCACGUGCUGCCUCCCCGAGCUGCUGUCACAGCCACGCCGCGCUCCCACCGGGCACCGCAGCUUCUCCCGUGCCCUGCCCGAAGAAGGCACAAGCAGGCUCCAACUCUCUCUCCUGCUGAACUUGCCGGGAACAAAAGGCUCCGUUCCCGAUCCAGCCCGCAGUUGCCGUGAGAAACUUCCUCGCCAGCGCUGUCUGUCGCUCCGCUCUCCCUCCCUCGCUCCCUCCCUGCCUCGGGAAAAUGGCAGUGCAAGAGCUUGAUGAAAAGGGGGAAAAAACCUUCUUUCUCAGCGCCUGCCUCUCCCGCAGCACCCCCCAUCCCCAGUCAUGACGCCUGAACUCAAACUUCUCUAAAAAUACACUUUAGGAGGGUAGAUUUUCACGGGAGGGGAUGUGUUUUUUACACCCCACUGAAAAGGGGCGCCGAGCUGGGGGAAAAGGCCGAGGGACAGCUUUUUCCAGACAGGAGAACCUGCUGCUGACCCCUCCCGCACGGCAUCGCCAGGUCCCAAGGAUUUGAAACACAAUAAGUUUUCCUUCAGUGGGAAAAUCCAGGCCCAGAGUUCAGAUCUUUCUCUUUUCGCAGCUUUAAAAGCCUUUUUUUCCCCCCUUGUUUUAACUCUUCACGGUGGGGUUCGCAGCAGAAUGUAGUUGUUCUGCCAGCCCACCCGAGAGCUCCCAAAUCUGGUGGGAUUCAGGGAAAACAGACUGCUGGCUCCGGAUCCAGUGCAGGGGUUUUUGCAAACUCCGCUCCGCGUUUUGAUUUUAUUUUUUGCCCUUUUU